GAUGAACGCUAGCGGCAGGCCUAAUACAUGCAAGCCGGACGGCAAGUUGAGUAGCAAUACUUGACCUAGAGUGGCGUAAGGGUGCGUAACACGUAUGCAAUCUGCCCACAGCCGGGGAGAUAGCCCUCCGAAAGGAGGAUUAAUAUCCCAUAGGAAGAUGAGAUGGCAUCAUUUUAUUUUUAAACUACGGGGCUGUGGAUGAGCAUGCGGUUGAUUAGCUAGUUGGCGGGGUAAAGGCCCACCAAGGCGAUGAUCAAUAGGGGACCUGAGAGGGUGAUCCCCACCACUGGCACUGAGAUACGGGCCAGACUCCUACGGAGGCAGCAGUAGGG
rnacentral:rRNA from 1 species